rnacentral:rRNA from 1 species
AAACUUUCAACAACGGAUCUCUUGGUUCUCGCAUCGAUGAAGAACGCAGCGAAAUGCGAUAAGUAGUGUGAAUUGCAGAAUUCAGUGAAUCAUCGAAUCUUUGAACGCACAUUGCGCCCUCUGGUAUUCCGGAGGGCAUGCCCGUUCGAGCGUCAUAA